ACGGGAGGCAGCAGUGGGGAAUAUUGCACAAUGGGGGAAACCCUGAUGCAGCGACGCCGCGUGAGCGAAGAAGUAUUUCGGUAUGUAAAGCUCUAUCAGCAGGGAAGAAAAUGACGGUACCUGACUAAGAAGCUCCGGCUAAAUACGUGCCAGCAGCCGCGGUAAUACGUAUGGAGCAAGCGUUAUCCGGAUUUACUGGGUGUAAAGGGAGCGUAGACGGAACAGCAAGUCUGAUGUGAAAGACGGGGGCUCAACUCCUGGACUGCAUUGGAAACUGCUGAUCUUGAGUGUCGGAGAGGUAAGCGGAAUUCCUAGUGUAGCGGUGAAAUGCGUAGAUAUUAGGAGGAACACCAGUGGCGAAGGCGGCUUACUGGACGAUAACUGACGUUGAGGCUCGAAAGCGUGGGGAGCAAACAGGAUUAGAUACCCUGGUA
rnacentral:rRNA from 1 species